rnacentral:rRNA from 1 species
ACGGGUGAGUAACACGUGGGUGAUCUGCCCUGCACUUCGGGAUAAGCCUGGGAAACUGGGUCUAAUACCGGAUAGGACCAUCGUUUAGUGUCGGUGGUGGAAAGUUUUUCGGUGCAGGAUGAGCUCGCGGCCUAUCAGCUUGUUGGUGGGGUAAUGGCCUACCAAGGCGUCGACGGGUAGCCGGCCUGAGAGGGUGGACGGCCACACUGGGACUGAGACACGGCCCAGACUCCUACGGGAGGCAGCAGUGGGGAAUAUUGCACAAUGGGCGCAAGCCUGAUGCAAGCGACGCCGCGUGGGGGAUGAAGGCCUUCGGGUUGUAAACUCCUUUCAACCAUGACGAAGCAUUAUGUGCACGGUAGUGGUAGAAGAAGCACCGGCUAACU